UUGUGCGCAUUUUGCUAUUAUGUGUUCUUUUAAUUAAAAUGAUUCUUUUUAAGGACUUUCUUUGCUUCCGCUUGGAAAUUCUUGUUACUUUGAAUAAAUUAAAAUGUUCAAA
rnacentral:rRNA from 1 species